rnacentral:misc_RNA from 1 species
AACGCACCUUGCGCUCCUUGGUAUUCCGAGGAGCAUGCCUGUUUGAGUGUCAGUAAUUUCUCAACCCCUUUCAAUUAACUUUGAAUGGGAGCUUGGAUAGUGGGGGUUUGCAGGAAACUUGGAUAUUUUCUUUAACUAGAAAAAGUCUAGGAUUCGGGCUCUCCUGAAAUACAUUGGCUUGCGGGUCUACUUUCGACUUUGUGUGAUAAGGCUUUCGGUGUGAUAAUGAUCACCGUGUGCUGAAGUGCAUAACUGUAAAGUUCCGUGCCUCUAAUAUUGUCGAUCCCUAUAGUAUAUACUAUAUAGGAUCUUCCUUAUAAUGACAUUUUGACCUCAAAUCAGGUAGGACUACCCGCUGAACUUAA